rnacentral:rRNA from 1 species
GGGGGCCCGCAAGCGGUGGAGCAUGUGGUUUAAUUCUAAGCAACGCGCAGAACCUUACCAUCCCUUGACAUGUCGUGCCAUCCGGAAAGAUCCGGGGUUCCCUUCGGGGACGCAAACACAGGUGCUGCAUGGCUGUCGUCAGCUCGUGUCGUGAGAUGUUGGGUUAAGUCCCGCAACGAGCGCAACCCACGUCCUUAUUUGCCAUCAUUCAGUUGGGCACUCUAGGGAGACUGCCGGUGAUAAGCCGCGAGGAAGGUGUGGAUGACGUCAAGUCCUCAUGGCCCUUACGGGAUGGGCUACACACGUGCUACAAUGGCGGUGACAGUGGGACGCGAAACCGCGAGGUUGAGCAAAUCCCCAAAAACCGUCUCAGUUCAAAUUGCACUCUGCAACUCGAGUGCAUGAAGGCGGAAUCGCUAGUAAUCGUGGAUCAGCAUGCCACGGUGAAUACGUUCCCGGGCCUUGUACACACC